AGAGUUUGAUCCUGGCUCAGAACGUACGCUGGCGGCACGCCUAACACAUGCAAGUCGAACGAAGUAGCAAUACUUAGUGGCAGACGGGUGAGUAACAUGUAGGUAUCUGCCCUUUGGCCUGGAAUAACACGAGGAAACUUGUGCUAAUACCGGAUAAGUCUUUACGGAGAAAGCUUUAUGCACCAUUGGAUGAGCCUGCACUUGAUUAGUUUGUUGGUGGGGUAAUGGCCUACCAAGACUGUGAUCAAUAGCUGAUUUGAGAGGAUGAUCAGCCACAUUGGGACUGAGACACGGCCCAAACUCCUACGGGAGGCAGCAGUGGGGAAUCUUGCACAAUGGAGGAAACUCUGAUGCAGCGAUGCCGCGUGAGUGAAGAAGGCCUUUGGGUUGUAAAGCUCUUUCGUCGGGGAAGAAAAUGACUGUACCCGAAUAAGAAGGUCCGGCUAACUUCGUGCCAGCAGCCGCGGUAAUACGAAGGGACCUAGCGUAGUUCGGAAUUACUGGGCUUAAAGAGUUCGUAGGUGGUUGAAAAAGUUAGUGGUGAAAUCCCAGAGCUUAACUCUGGAACUGCCAUUAAAACUUUUCAGCUAGAGUAUGAUAGAGGAAAGCAGAAUUUCUAGUGUAGAGGUGAAAUUCGUAGAUAUUAGAAAGAAUACCAAUUGCGAAGGCAGCUUUCUGGAUCAUUACUGACACUGAGGAACGAAAGCAUGGGUAGCGAAGAGGAUUAGAUACCCUCGUAGUCCAUGCCGUAAACGAUGUGUGUUAGACGUUGGAAAUUUAUUUUCAGUGUCGCAGGGAAACCGAUAAACACACCGCCUGGGGAGUACGACCGCAAGGUUAAAACUCAAAUGAAUUGACGGGGACCCGCACAAGUAGUGGAGCAUGUGGUUUAAUUCGAAGAUACGCGCAGAACCUUACCAACACUUGACAUGUUCGUCGCGACUCUAAGAGAUUAGAGUUUUCGGUUCGGCCGGACGAAACACAGGUGCUGCAUGGCUGUCGUCAGCUCGUGUCGUGAGAUGUUGGGUUAAGUCCCGCAACGAGCGCAACCCUCACUUUUAGUUGCCAUCAUUAAGUUGGGCACUCUGAAAGAACUGCCAGUGAUAAGCUGGAGGAAGGUGGGGAUGACGUCAAGCCCUCAUGGCCCUUACGUGUUGGGCUACACACGUGCUACAAUGGUAUCUACAACAGGAAGCAAGACUGCGAAGUUAAGCAAAUCCCUAAAAGAUACCUCAGUUCGGAUUGCACUCUGCAACUCGAGUGCAUGAAGCUGGAAUUACUAGUAAUCGUGGAUCAGCGUGCCACGGUGAAUGCGUUCCCGGGUCUUGUACACACCGCCCGUCACACCAUGGGAGUUGGUUCUACCUUAAGGCAAGGUUUCAAACCCUUGACCACGGUAUAGUCAGCGACUGGGGUGAAGUCGUAACAAGGUAGCCGUAGGGGAACCUGCGGCUGGAUCACCUCCUU
rnacentral:rRNA from 1 species